GAUAGAUCCUUGCGGGUAGGCGGCCAAUAAGAAUUGUGUUAUGUGAAUUGUGAUGAUCUCACCAUGUCAUGGAAGUAAGGGCUGGAAUUCCAACAAGGCAUUUCAGGCAGAUUAGAGAAGAGUGGUUUCUGUGAGAGGAGGUAUCUGUACAAAAAGGCAGAGCUGCUUGUGCAUUACGGACCACGUGUCACCAAGGCCGGGUCUUCAUUACUCGCCUAGGCAUCCAUCUGCGUGCUUUUCCCAUUGUCAAGCCCCUCAGGAUCAUGAGGCAGCGGACACCCUGGAUGGGAUGCCGGUUCAGUGCAGAGUGCACACCGUUAAAGAUACCCGUUAGCCUAAAUGUAUUUUUUUGGACUGUCCACAGGAGACUCCUGUGACACGCUGAGAACAUUCCAUUUGCAUACUCACAUGGCAGAGGUGCCAUUCACACCCCCAAUCCCGGGGGCAUAAGGUAACUGUGUGACCCACCCUUAUAAAAUCAUGCCACUUAUAUUAAGUUGAUUAUACAACUUAGCGUAGCAACAAAGGCUUGCAGAUUAAGUACCUUUUUCCUCAAGACUUUUGGAAUAGGUUCUUGCCUGAACACCCAUUCCGAAGGCAUUUGCUGCCAGGUGCUGUUGGGUCCAUGGUUUGUAUGGGAAUCUAUCACGGUAACCUUUUGGUGUCAUGGUUACUCCCUAACUGGAAAAAUGUUUGAGUAGCAGGUGGACAGACGUGCUUAAUGUAUAAUUCUGAGCUGAGCACAGCUGUGCACUAUGAACUUCUACUACUUCAGGUAGAGUGGGUGUGUGGGGGGUUCAGGGCUGCACUGAUAAGCAAAGCAAGCGUUGGGAUGCUGUUGGUGGGGGUCACAGCAUGUUAGCAUGCCCCCCCCCCCCACUGCUGCAUAAUCAAGCAUGGAUGUUGGGUUCAUAUAAAGAUGGCAGCCUUGGGUGAAUCACGAAGGAGGCGGCUGCCUCGACAUCACGUAACGGGGAACUGAGCUUCCGGUGUUUUCUCUGGGUGGCCUUUCUGUUGCUGUCACAGACACGGCUUGGGACUCAGGCUCCACACGGUCACUGUCGCUGCCAGCGGGGUUGUCAUGGAAACCUCAGACGCCAGUGUCCGUUUCCAGGGCGAUCGGAAGCUCUGUGAGAAUUGGAGUUCCUCUUUAUGGGAGCCUUCCGAGGUUCCUUCAAAUGGGAAGGUCACCUACCCAUACUGUAAUAGCUAAUUACAGGCUCCUGGGGGGGGGGGAGUG